rnacentral:lncRNA from 1 species
GUCUCUUUAUUAUCUCACUAUCUCUCUUCAUUUAUUCUUUAAAACUCUCUCUCUUCAUCUCUGAUGAAGAUGAAUCUUCAUCUUCAACAUCUUCAUCUUAAAAUCGUUUUCUUUUAGUCCAAGUCAAGUGGCUAACUAAGUUUGAAGAGUAGAUAACCAUUUUUCAACAGUAGAUUACUACAUGGCUUAAUUAAUAUAUGUGUGGGAGCGAGAAGUAAGAGAGUAAGAGAGAGAGAGGAGUCAGAGAAGACAGUGGAUGGCGGUAGCGCUGCCGCUCACGGCGGCGGCAGUAGAGACACAGGCGGCGGCGGUCCAGGUUGUUCCGACGAGUGUCAAGGUAACCCCCCUCUCGCUUCCUUUUACCGUACUGAAGUCAGAUAAUGAUGAAUCAGGAUGAUGAUGCUGUUUUUUUUAUAUUUGAUUGAUGAUGAUGGAGUCGGUGGUGGCCGACGAUGGCAGCCGGCGAAGCAGCGGCACAACGGCGACGAUAGUAAAGGUGGAGUCGGUGGUGGUCGACGAUGACGGUAAAGGUGGGGGUACGUCGGAGCUCCGAUCCGGUCGGCGACGGUAAUGUAGGUUCCGGUGACCCAUGUAAAUAUACCGAUCACCUUUAGAAGUGCUUAAGAUGUUUUUGGAUUGUUUUUUGGGUUUUGUUGGUUACAUGAUAUGUUGCUUAAGAUGUUUUUGGAUUUUUUUUUGUUGGUUACAUGAUAUGGUAGGUCUUUGUUGUUUCCAUUGGGUUUUGUAAAACGUAAAAAUUUUAACGUAAAAUGUAAAAACGAUCCGUGAGGCUGAUGUCGACGGUGAUGGUCAGAUCAACUACGAAGAAUUCGUGAAGGUCAUGAUGGCGAUGUGAGAACCUUUAACAUCAAACCCAUCUUUUAUUUUAGAAAGAGGUAUUAAACACUUUCAGUAGAAAUUAAUGGAGUUUGUUGGGUGCAUUUUGUUUGAUCUUAUUUUAGAAAGAGGUAUUCUACUUAGUUCCUUCUUUCAAGCCAUUCAUUUUCUUCUACUCUGAAAUUAGUUAUAAACCUUGAAUAGUUGGUUUGGUUCAAUCUUUCUUGAUUUAUGCUUCAUCGUUGUGAUUUUACAGUUUGAUGUUUUGUGCCAAUACAUAAUACUUGCCAUUGACACGAGACCCAGUAACAUUUUAACGAUGCGGAUUUUUAUUACAUAAUAUAUUUUAUAGUUAACGCGAACCGAGAUCGAACCGAUACUUUAGUGACUUGUAACGUUUGGCAUUUUGAUGAAAAUUUUAUAUAUAUUGUUUUGUUUUGUAUUGUUGAGAAGAUAUUGUUUGUGUUUUGAAAAUAUAUCAGCACUUUAGUUGUCGGGAUCGUUCAUAAACAGGGGAAACUCUGUCCGUUUUCCGUUAAAUGGGGGCGUAAAAAAAUGGGGAAACGUGACGUAAGUUUUUUUUUUGUUUUUUGUAAAAGGUUUAAACCCGUAAAAAAGUAGUUUUUAGUAAAAAAAAUCUAAAAAAAUUGUUUUUGUAAAAAAUCUGUUUUUUUAUAAGUUUUACGUAAAACGUAAAAACGUAAAAACAUAAAAACGUAAAACGUAAAAAGUUUAACGAAAAACAUAAAAAGUUAAAGCAAAACGUAAAUCGUAAAACGUAAAACGUAAAAAGUUUAACGUAAAAUUUUAAAAAGUUUAAAAAGUUUAAUGUAAAACGUAAAACGUAAAAAGUUUUAAAAGUUUAACGUAAAACGUAAAAAGUUUAACGUAAAACGUAAAAAUUGUAACGUAAAACGUAAAAAGUUUUACGUAAAACGUUAAAAAUAUUACGUAAAACGUAAAAAGUGUAACAUAAAACGUAAAAAUUUUAAAGUAUAACGUAAAACGUAAAAAGUUUUACGUAAAUCGUAAAACGUAAAUUUUUUUACAUAAAACGUAAUUUUUUUUACAUAAAUCGUAAAAUGUAAAACUUUUUCUACGUAAAUUAUAAAACGUAAAAAACCGUGUGAUAAAACGGCACCUAAACACGGGGCGUGAAUGCGGCGCAUAAAAACGCCGCGGAAAAAAACAGAACGUAAAAAACGCCGCGUUAAAACGGGACGUAAAAAACGCCGCAUUAAAACAAACGACGCUUGAAAAGGCCAAGCGUAAAAAACGGCGUGCAAAAACGACCCGUUAAAAAAGGAUGCGCGAAAAACCGGGCGUAAAAACUGAAAACAUAAUUUUUUAUCGCAAACGACGGCGCGUUAAAAAAAGGGAAAACGUAAUUUUUUAACGUAAAUGACGGCGUGUUAAAAAAACGACGUCUGAAAAAGCCGAGCGUAAAAACGGUGCGUAAAAAAACGGCUCUUCAAAACGUUUUUU